CAGGAUCCUGGAUCCAUGUAUGAAAUUUUUUUGGAAGAAGAGAACAGGAAUCUGAUAGACAGGACAGGAGAGAGCACAGAGGGGAUCUAGUCCCGCCCUCGUGCUUCAGAUGGAACAAAUAUGAUGCAGCAGCUGGAGAGGACCACAUUCUGGAUGGUGACAACACUGAGGAAAUGACCCUCUGCUACAGUGUAAAGUGAUGUAGAAUGUACACAGUAAAUAUAGCAAUUUGUUAUCAACUCCUGCUGGUAAAGAAAUAUGUUCAUCUUCACCAUUUUAAGAUGUCAGAAUGUCAACGUUUUCAGGCCAUAGAUACUAAUCCAUGGGAAAUAUAGGUCUGGAAGAAGACAUGAAGUUCUUUUGUAUCAUCUUUGGGGGGAAAAAGUUUAGUAGAAAUUUUCAAACAGCUAUGAGAACUGCAGUGGCUACCAG